rnacentral:misc_RNA from 1 species
GAUGAAGAACGUAGCGAAAUGCGAUACUUGGUGUGAAUUGCAGAAUCCCGCGAAUCAUCGAGUUUUUGAACGCAAGUUGCGCCCGAAGCCAUUCGGCCGAGGGCACGUCUGCCUGGGUGUCACGCAUCGUUGCCCCCCCAAACUCCGGUUCGGGCGGGGCGGAAGUUGGCCUCCCGUGCGUGCCUGCGCGCGCGGUUAGCCCAAAAGCGAGUCCUCGGCGAUGAGCGCCACGACAAUCGGUGGUUUUUUUACCCUCGUUCCUCGUCGUGCGUGCCCCGUCGCCCGAACGCGCUCUUGCAACCCUUACGCGUCGCCUCGGUGGCGCUCCCAACGCGACCCCAGGUCAGGCGGGACUACCCGCUGAGUUUAAGCAUAUCAAAAGCGGAGGA